UCCGUAGUUAAGCAACGUCGAGCCUGGCUAGUACCUAGAUGGGUGACCGCUUGGGAAUACCAGGUAUUGUU